GCCCCACACAGGCGCGCGCCGUCUCCUCCUGUCCGCCUCUCGCCCGCUCGCUCCCCCCUCUCCUGCGCCGGGCGCGUGCGCGGGCCGCGCGCUCCCGCUUGGGGUCGCCCCCCCAACGUCAGGCUCUAGAGUCCCGCCGGUCGCCGGCGCCUCAGGGGCAGCGCGGGCUGCUCCCCCCGCAACAGCGCGUACACCUCGGCGGCGGCGCCCCGGCUCCGGGCUGCAGCUGUUGUUGCCAUGAUGAUGAUGUCACGGGCGCAACCACUCGGGGAGCGAGGAGGGGGGGGCCGUGGGGCUCACGCACACGCAUCCCGCCCCGGGAACGAGGGGAGGGGGGUAAGGAAAACGUCCGCCCGCCGCUCUGCCCCGGCCGCUCCCUCUGGAAGGGGGUUCGGCGGCUCGGCGCUCGGCCGGGCGGGCUUGGGGCGAGGCUUGCGGAAGCCCGAGCCGCCGAUGGGGCGGACCGGGUAGCGCCGAUGCGCCGCCAUUGGGUUAAGGCGGGCCGGCCGCCAUUUUGGAUGCCGAGUCGUCUCUCUGCGGGAAGGUCUUCCCUUGGCCUAACAUCAGAAGAACCUACCAGUGAAUGCGCAUGCAGGAAAACACAUAAGUACUCAAGGAAAUGAUAUCAUCUGAAAUGAAUAAAGGUUUUCACCUGAAACUCUCCACUGAAAAAGAGUCUGGUGCAAAGAAAGUUAGCCCAAAUGAUUCGAAUAGUAAGUAAUUUAAAAGAUUUCAUAAUGGAAAGCUUCCAAGUACUGUAACUUCAAAAUAUCAGUCUCAUAUAGCUUAUGCAGUCCAAUAUAUGUACACAUGUGGUUAUUUCAAUUUUUGUUGUUUCAAAGUGUGAAAUGUGCUUCUGUAAAUGAAUCACAAGAAACUGGGCUGGGUAGUAAGCAGUAAGAUCAGUUGUUCUGCCACGUAGUCUGACUUACGAGCGGCAUUCCCCAUUCAUGCAUCAGACAAAGUGAAAGAAGCUUCUGUCCGGUGUGUUGAUCACAAACAGCUAUCUGUUAUCCAGAUAGAGAUAGGAGAGUCGCCAGCAGAGUAAACUUAAAGUGCUUUAAGAUUAAAUUAAAGAUGGAGAAAGCAUUUAAUAGGUCUCUGCCAUCUCUGUCAGUAUUGGUUUCUGUAAUAUAUAUGAGUGCAUACUUUAUGCUGCUGUUCCAGAUACCAACUUCCCCCCCUCCAUUAAGUCAACUACCUGUAGUUUAGGACACGGUUUAGAUUUCCUGCAUUGUUUAAGUCUUCUUUUUUAUCACCUCAUAAUUUUUUUUUUCUUCUUGGUAUCUCUUCCUUUCAAGUAAUUUUCCAGGUCAAGAUGAAUGUUAAGAAAAAAUAUCAUUUUGAACUUCUUCUUUGCUUACCUUAAGCUGCACUUACUUACGUUUGCGACAUUUCCUUUUGAGUCUUUCCAGCCCCCAAAGAAUUUCUGUUAUUUUUAUGUGAAUUCCAUCCAAUUUGCUGAGAUCUUUUUGGUAAUAUGCCUAGAACUCAUUGGUGAAUUCCAGGUGUGGUUACAAAGAGCAUAGAUAAAGAAUUUAUGGUUUAUGUCUAGAUAGAGCCAUUUAUGUUGUUUCAGGUACCCAUAUGACCUCCACGUGCAGGGCAGAAUGAAUUGCCAGAGGGUAUUAACAUGUUGUUCACCAAGAAUCUUGAGGUCUUAGCUGGUUGUUCACAGAGAAAGUGUUCUACAGUCUGCCCUGAAGCUAUGUAGAGAGAAACUUAUCUUCCUGCUUCAGGAUACAGUGCUUCCAAGUAUGCAAGUCAAAUCUAAAUUAGUCUUUUUGUUGGUAUUCUGUUACAAGUUUAUUUGUAGUUUCUGCUCCCUUGUUGUCUUUAGAUUCCUUACAAAUAUUAUCCCCUAGGGUUAUUUCCAUCCCACUGAAUACGUUCCAGAAUAUUUCUCUCAGUCUUUUCCAUAGCAGUAGCUUGUUUUUUCCUGUACUUAACUUCAUCUUGCUGUUUUCUGACUGCAUUCUAGCCACUGUACUUAGAGAUAUGUCCAUGUCUUCAUAACUGUCCAGAUCGUGGCCUCUCAAAGAUUAAUGAAGAUACCAAAGGAAACAGGUCCUCACAACAGUUCCUUUGACACCACACACAGAUAGAUCAUUGCACAUGCUUUUUCCCCAAAACUCUUUUAUUUGCUGUCAGUUUUCAGAUUUAUCUUGGGCCCUACAGCAUUCACUGUUUUCUCUAAGCUUCAGAGUUUUUAUGCAGUCCUUGCUUGUUGUCUGAUUGUCUCUCAUUCAGUACUGUAAUCCAUCCAGUACAUUCUGAGUGACUUGGAGGUUUCACGAGAGUACUAAAUGCUUUCCUGAAAUUGGGAUAUGUAGUAUCUAAAAGACUUCCUUUGGACCUUGUAUUUUGUUCUGGCUUUUGGAAAGAGUGUUGUUUUUCUUGUAAAAAAGAUACUGCCUAGGAGUCUGUUGUUCUUUAUGGCUAACAUUUUCAGACAUGCUUGGCCUAAGGUUAAGUCUAGUAUAGCUCAAAAUUUCAAAGGUAGCAUUCUUAUCUAUAUGUUUACAAAUAAGUGAUUUUUAUGACUACUGUAACCUAGUUUUAAGAAUGUUCACUUAGCACUGAGUUUGUUUUGCACUACUGUUCUCUUUUUUCAGUACUGCUGGGUUUUUUGCUUCCUCCAGUGCAGAUCGUAAUGGGUCUAUAUAAUCAGGAGUGGGAUAAAUGAAUGGUAUACAUACAUUUAAAUACAUCCUCUUAAAAGGUAGAAAGAGAAAGAAUGCCGUAGAACUAUUUGCUAGAGAUUUAAUACUUAGCCAGCAAUUAGUAGUAUUUUAUUUUGAUGUGACAUUCAUUAGUUUACACGGUUGCACUUCCUAACUCUUCCUAAAAAUCAAAGCUCAUUUCCAUUUGAAGAUGCAAAUACUAGCUGCUAAUUAAUAAUACCAUAAGUAUUUUUAGACAGGGGUAGGCAAAUGGCACAUCUGGGAAAAAGGCAGUGCAAACAGAAUGGUGGAAAGGUAUAAUGCAAUGGAAAGCAGAGCAAUGACAGCAGAGUAGCAAGGUCCUAGGCUGCAGCAAGUGAGGGUUGCUCAAAUACAACAGCCAUAGGUACAGAAAUAGAGGAAAGAAGCUGCUUACCUUCAGAAAGCCCCAGAUAUACAGAGAUCCUCAGCAAGAUACCCUUGCCUCCACUGCCAACCCUUAAAUGAGGUCUGGGAGGGUGUGGAUCCUGGCUCCACCCCUUCCAGUCAGUCAGGUGCACUGCAUGCACCUGAGUUCCCCUGGGUUGGCCCUGCCUUCCUACCAGGUGCUCCAUCACUGGUUCAAGCCCUGACAUAGCAUUUCCGCUACAAAAGGUAAUCCCAGAAAGAUACUAUUGGAGCUGAAUUUCAUCCAGAACAUGGUCUUCCUAAACAUGUAUUCCCUAUAUAAAUACUGUUGUGUGUGCUUGGUAUAUAAAAAUAUAAUUGCUAAUGUGCUCCCCCAGUUACAAUAGUAUCUACUAAAGGUUGACACUGUAAGUAGAAGCCUCAUCAGCAUGCAGACCUACCUCAACAGUUUUGGAGGCUUACACAUAAAAUCGAUUUUCUUGCCAGUAUAUUGGUCAUUGUAUAUCUCAAAGCAUGAGAUAGAUACAGGUGGAGAUAGAAAGUUAGGAAGAACACAAAUUUAUAGUGUUAUCUGUUAUGCUAAUGCAAUGCAUUAGUGGAAAUUAGGAAAUAUUGGAAGGAAAGACACCGUAAUUCUGUUUCCAGUUUCUAGAGAGAAAAUCUUGUGUGGUGGUUAUGAACUUCUAGUCAGGUACAGAAAUCAGAUACAUUCACUCUGGAAGCUGUGCAGUUAAGUGACUGAGACUUGAUUCUGCUAUAAUGUGGUGUUUCUUGAGUAGUCUUGCAGCUACUUUAGUUUGUAAUUCAGUGAUAGCUGUUUUCUGAUUCUUUUUUGUCUGGUAACUUGAUGGCUUGGCUAAUAAUAUCAAGCAAUACUAGCCCCCCAAUCCAUAAAAUAUAGAUACGGUGCCGUAUUCAGCCCCCCUACCCACAGCACCUUCACCUUCCUUUUCCUAUGCUACUUUAAAAGAUAUUUUGUGGAGACAGUAUUUUGAGUAGCUGUAGAAUAUAGGCUUUUGACUUAUAUGGAUUUUUUAUUCUAAAACCUUAGUGCUAUGUUCUCACGUGGAAGGUGCUUUUUGCAAAAGAAAGUGAUUGUAAGUUGAAACUAUUAACACACAGGGAAAAUAGGAAAUGGUUACUGUAGAAAUAACCAUGAAAGUGUAUCAGAUUGUUCAGAGAGGGAACAGCCUUCCAAGAAGUGAUUGCAUUCUCACACUCUGCUUUAAACACAUUCUUUAUCUUUAAAAGGAAACAGAAGAGAAACAGUUAGUAAAUCAAAUGUAGUCAUGGUCUUGUCUGCAAUACUGUAUCAUUCUGAAGUAAGGCAUUAGGUGUGGACAUUUGAAACAAGCACUGCCAGUGCCAAGAGCUCUUGUGCUCUGAGAAAAGUACAUACGUCUUUGGUUAGACAAUAUCUUUCUUGCAGCUCUUGAUGGUUUUUCUUCUUUGUCUGAAGAUAGCAGUUAUGGUUGCUAUCUAUUAGAAAACAGACUGUACUUUUCUACUGCAAUGAGUAAGGGUGUUGUGUUGUUGUUGGUUUUUUUAAUUAUUGUCUAUUUGUUUAGAGAAGGAAAUUGGAUUUCUUCCAAAAAAAUCUCCACCUUCACUUACUUGUUGUUGGCAACAAAAACUCCAAACAACUGUUGAAAAAUAGUCUGUUGAAAGACAGGCAUGUUGUAGCUGCAACUUUUAAAACCAGUUUUGUGAUAAAGAUUUCACUGCCAGUAACUUGAGUUUGUCUCCUUUGCUCCAGCACUGGGUCACUAGUCAGUUCCCUAAUUUCUUCUUUACCUAGCAGGUAAAAAAUUGCUUUUUGCUUGCAGUAAUGUGAAAAUUGGUUAUUUUAAGCAAAAGAAACCAGUAGCAUUCAUAUUUUUCAAGCUCCAUCAGAGUAACUUUAUCUUUUAUCUAUGUCCUUAAUAAAAACAAAAUACUUCUAACUACUUUUAAUUCAUUCAUCAGUAAAAGGGGAAUAUUGUUACUUCAAUGGUUAAAAAAAAAUAAUCUAAAUCACUUGGUAUUAACUACAGUGUGACAGAAGAAUUCGUAAUUUCCUUAUUGGGUUUUUUAUAAUGUUCCUUACCAUACAUUACAUCUAUAUUGUGAAAUAAUGAAGGCCAGAGAGUUAGCUGGGUCUCCCUGUGUCCAAGUGUUGACCCCUGAGCCACGUGGGAGCAUUAUUCCAGACGGCUGUUAUGGGCCAAAGCCGCUAUGCAGCAUGCUACCAUCUUGGCAAUGCUGAGCAGUGAUGAGCAGUCUGAUGUUCAAGUUAUUCCUUGGUACCACUCUAUUAAACAGUCCACGUGGAGCAAUAGUGUCUCAGAUAAGGUUUUUUAAGUGUGCCAGUUUGCCAGGCACAGGGGGGGGUCUUCAGUCCGACUGUAUUUCUUUCUUUUAUGAGUGCUUCAAAUACAUUAAUUUCAUAAUAUCCAAAUAAGUAAGUAAUAAGAGCACUUGCCUAGGAGUCCUUAGUCCCUGCACUCAGUACUGUGUGUUCAAGCUGUAUAAUUACUGCUUAAUGAAAAUACAUAAGCGGCCUAGGAGAUUAAAGUAUCCUUAUUCUUUCUGGCCUGGGUGUCUUCCAUUCCCCAGCACUGAUUGUCAAAAUCUCAAGCUGGAUGUAAGAGAUACUUUGUACGCAGACCUCUGCUGAUGGGAGUACUCUCCUCCCAGACAGGAGAGGCUGUCCUUCAAGCAGUGGAAGGCAAGGUACAGAAUCCCAUCAACCGUUUCCUUUUCAGCUGCUGUUGAAUAGCACAUUGUCCUACCCUCUGUUCUGUGUGUAAGAGUAGGUAAUAAAGGUAUUCGUCCCAUAGGAGGGUGAGAUAUCCCUUACUUAUGUCAAAACUUAUGUCUAGAAAAGCUCCUAGAUAUCAGAAGUAAAUUUGUGCCUGGUGGCUGACCUAAAUUUCACCAAGGAGACAAAGUGAGCAGCAGUAAGUGGCCUCCUCUAACCUGUUUUCUAAGCUGCCAUGUGUAUGUCUCUGGUUAGAAUUCUUAGGAAUACAAAGGUUCUUGUGUGCUGUGUUUGCUAGGUACUACUGCUGGAGGACCAGUUCUCCAGCUUCAUACAUUUACCCGUCUUUAUUGUUGGGUAGGAUGCUCCUUAGUGAGAACAGUAGUAUUCUGUGCUCAGUUGCACGGGGAUAAGUGUCUACGCAAAGGACAAAGUUCUAACAAAUGAAGUCAGUAGGUUUUAUAUCUAAUUAGGCCUCUAAUCCUGCAGACCACUCGUGGUUUUGCAUUAUGAUAUGUUCAUGUUGUCUUAAAUGAGACCACUUACUUAAGUGAAGUUCUUGGUGUAAUUGCAUGGAGGUUCAGAUCAGAGCAAUCACAUUUUAGCUUCACACUGCAGCACUGUAAUGAAUCGGAUAGCACUUAUGUUACCCCUUGCCCAGUCACGGUGAAGGGGUUUCUGAAAUGGAAUAUGUUUCUGGAUAAUGGCUUACACUCCAUUUCCAUGGCCAUCCAAACCAAGUGCUUACAGAGGUACAUCACGCGGAGUAUUUUAACUGUUGGGUUAAGAGAGUCAUAAGGCAUAGAUUUUCAGUGCGGUAGGUCAUGAGGCUGCAGUUUCACUGGGUUGUGUGCUGUAUUUGCAUGGGCAGAUAUUCAGACAGUUAAUGGUAGCACAGAAUGCUUUAAUGAUUUUCAUUUGCAUCAAGCUGUUCUCACCUCUUAGUAACAUAAUGGAUAAAUAAAAGAGGCCUUUUGUUUGCUCUCCAUGAAAGUUACCAGUGACUAAGUGGUGCUGAGGGAACAGACUCAUGCUCUUAAAACAUCAACAACAAAAAAAAAACCCACACAAAAAGGAGCAACAACGAAACUGACCAUCAAAGCUGA